rnacentral:rRNA from 1 species
GACGAACGCUGGCGGCGUGCUUAACACAUGCAAGUCGAACGGUAAGGCCCUUCGGGGUACACGAGUGGCGAACGGGUGAGGAACACGUGGGUGAUCUGCCCUUCACUUCGGGGUAAGCCUGGGAAACUGGGUGUUAUACCGGAUAGGACCCUGGGAUGCAUGUCCUGGGGUGGAAAGCUUUUGCGGUGUGGGAUGGGCGCGCGGCCUAUCAGCUUGUUGGUGGGGUGAUGGGUUACCAAGGCGAGGACGGGUAGCCGGCCUGAGAGGGUGACCGGCGACACUGGGACUGAGAGACGGCCCAGACUCCUACGGGAGGCAGCGGGGGGGAAUAUUGCACGAGGGGCGCAAGCCUGAUGCAGCGACGCCGCGUGAGGGAUGACGGCCUUCGGGUUGUAAACCUCUUUCAGCACCGACGAAGCGCAAGUGACGGUAGGUGCAGAAGAAGGACCGGCCAACUACGUGCCAGCCGCCGCAGUAA